rnacentral:rRNA from 1 species
GACGAACGCUGGCGGCGUGCUUAACACAUGCAAAUCGAACGAUGAACCCGGAGCUUGCUCUGGUGAAUUAGUGGCGAACGGGUGAGUAACACGUGAGUAACCUGCCCUUGACUCUGGGAUAACUGCUAGAAAUGGUAGCUAAUACCGGAUACGACCCUCGGAGGCAUCUCCAGGGGGUGGAAAGAAUUUCGGUCAAGGAUGGACUCGCGGCCUAUCAGCUAGUUGGUGAGGUAACGGCUCACCAGGGCGACGACGGGUAGCUGGUCUGAGAGGAUGGCCAGCCACAUUGGGACUGAGAAACGGCCCAGACUCCUACGGGAGGCAGCAGUGGGGAAUCUUGCGCAAUGGCCGAAAGGCUGACGCAGCGACGCCGCGUGGGGGAUGAAGGCCUUCGGGUUGUAAACCCCUGUUGCCCGGGACGAACACACCGUUUCGACGGUGCUGACGGUACCGGGUGAGGAAGCACCGGCUAACUCUGUGCCAGCCGCCGCCGUAA